rnacentral:rRNA from 1 species
GAUGAACGCUAGCGGGAGGCCUAACACAUGCAAGCCGAGCGGUAUUGUUUCUUCGGAAAUGAGAGAGCGGCGUACGGGUGCGGAACACGUGUGCAACCUGCCUUUAUCUGGGGGAUAGCCUUUCGAAAGGAAGAUUAAUACUCCAUAACAUAUUGAACGGCAUCGUUUGAUAUUGAAAGCUCCGGCGGAUAGAGAUGGGCACGCGCAAGAUUAGCUAGUUGGUGAGGUAACGGCUCACCAAGGCGAUGAUCUUUAGGGGGCCUGAGAGGGUGAUCCCCAACACUGGUACUGAGACACGGACCAGACUCCUACGGGAGGCAGCAGUGAGGAAUAUUGGUCAAUGGGUGCAAGCUUGAACCAGCCAUCCCGCGUGAAGGACGACUGCCCUAUGGGUUGUAAACUUCUUUUGUAUAGGGAUAAACCUACCCUCGUGAGGGUAGCUGAAGGUACUAUACGAAUAAGCACCGGCUAACUCCGUGCCAGCCGCCGCAGUAAAAC